CCAGAUGACCAACAUAAGAACAUGUGAAUAUCCAAUAUUGACAAAAUUCAGUAUCGCUGCGUCUAGACAUGACUCAUUUAGCAAAAUUUAUUGCAGAAUCAUCAUAUUUCAAAAGAGAAAAAAGAAAUGAUGUUAUAUGGUGUUCAACCACACAAGUUACCCAGAUGUCAACCAGGGCACCUUCAGUAUCAUUACGCCUACACAUGACUCAUCUAGCAAAAUUAAUGACAGAAUCAUCAGAUUUCAAAAGAGAAAAAGAAAUGAUGUUCUAUGGUGUUCAAACACAAGUUACCCAGAUAUCAACCAGGGCACCUUCAGUAUCACUACAUCUACACAUGACUCGUCUAGCAAAAUUAAUCGCAGAAUCAUCAGAUUUCAAUAGGGGGGAAAUAAUGUUAUAUGGUGUUCAAACACACAAGUUACCCAGAUAACAACCAGGGUACCUUCUUCUGUUGGUCCUUUAGGAUAUAUAAGUGCAUGCAGCAGAGGCCCUGGCAGAAACC
rnacentral:lncRNA from 1 species